rnacentral:rRNA from 1 species
GACGAACGCUGGCGGCGUGCUUAACACAUGCAAGUCGAACGGAAAGGCCCUGCUUUUGUGGGGUGCUCGAGUGGCGAACGGGUGAGUAACACGUGAGUAACCUGCCCUUGACUUUGGGAUAACUUCAGGAAACUGGGGCUAAUACCGGAUAGGAGCUCCUGCUGCAUGGUGGGGGUUGGAAAGUUUCGGCGGUUGGGGAUGGACUCGCGGCUUAUCAGCUUGUUGGUGGGGUAGUGGCUUACCAAGGCUUUGACGGGUAGCCGGCCUGAGAGGGUGACCGGCGACAUGGGGACUGAGAUAAGGCACAGACGCCGACGGGAGGCAGCAGUGGGGAAUAUUGCAAAAUGGGCGGAAGCCUGAUGCAGCAACGCCGCGUGCGGGAGGAAGGCAGUGGGGGUGUAAACCGCUGUCGCCUGGGAAGAAGCGGGAGGGACGGUAAUGGGUAAAGAAGCACCGGCUAACUACGUG